UGGGGAAUAUUGGACAAUGGGCGCAAGCCUGACCCAGCCAUGCCGCGUGUGUGAAGAAGGCCUUUUGGUUGUAAAGCACUUUAAGCGAGGAGGAGGCUACUUGGAUUAAUACUCUAGGAUAGUGGACGUUACUCGCAGAAUAAGCACCGGCUAACUCUGUGCCAGCAGCCGCGGUAAUACAGAGGGUGCGAGCGUUAAUCGGAUUUACUGGGCGUAAAGCGUGCGUAGGCGGCUUCUUAAGUCGGAUGUGAAAUCCCUGAGCUUAACUUAGGAAUUGCAUUUGAUACUGGGAAGCUAGAGUAUGGGAGAGGAUGGUAGAAUUCCAGGUGUAGCGGUGAAAUGCGUAGAGAUCUGGAGGAAUACCGAUGGCGAAGGCAUCCAUCUGGCCUAAUACUGACGCUGAGGUACGAAAGCAUGGGGAGCAAACAGG
rnacentral:rRNA from 1 species